rnacentral:rRNA from 1 species
UGAAUACGAGAUGCUACGGCGUCGAAGCAGUGUAUGUCAGACUUCCAAGAAAAGCUCGCAAUGUCAUAAAUAAAGAAUGCCUGUACCAUAACCGACACAGGUGGGUAGGUAGAGUAUACUAAGGGGCGCGAGAUAACUCUCUCUAAGGAACUCGGCAAAAUAACUCCGUAACUUCGGGAGAAGGAGUGCCUUCUUUAAGAAGGUUGCAAUAACAAGAUCCAAGCAACUGUUUAUCAAAAACACAGGUCUCCGCUAAGUCGUAAGACGAUGUAUGGGGGCUGACGCCUGCCCAGUGCCAGAAGGUUAAAGAAGCUGGUUAGCAAUAGCGAAGCUGGUGACUGAAGCCCUGGUGAACGGCGGCCGUAACUAUAACGGUCCUAAGGUAGCGAAAUUCCUUGUCGGGUAAGUUCCGACCCGCACGAAAGGCGUAAUGAUUUGGAUACUGUCUCGGAGAGGGACUCGGUGAAAUAGACUUGUCUGUGAAGAUGCGGACUACCCGCACCAGGACAGAAAGACCCUAUGAAGCUUUACUGUAACCUGAAAUUGAAAUUGGACUUUAUUUGCGCAGUAUAGGUGGGAGGCGUUGAAAGUAAUCUUGCGGGAUUAGUGGAGCCAUCAGUGAGAUACCACUCCUAUAAUGUUAGAUUUCUAACUUUGGAUCAUGAUCUGGUCAAAGAACAGUUUCAGGCGGGCAGUUUGACUGGGGCGGUCGCCUCCCAAAUGGUAACGGAGGCGUACAAAGGUUUCCUCUGAACGGGUAGAAAUCGUAUCUAGAGUGUAAAGGCAUAAGGAAGCUUGACUGUGAGACCUACAAGUCGAGCAGGGACGAAAGUCGGUCUUAGUGAUCUGACGGUGCUGAGUGGAAAGGCCGUCACUCAACGGAUAAAAGUUACUCUAGGAUAACAGGCUGAUCUCCCCCAAGAGUUCACAUCGACGGGGAGGUUUGGCACCUCGAUGUCGGCUCAUCGCAUCCUGGGGCGGUAGUACGUCCCAAGGGUUGGGCUGUUCGCCCAUGAAAGCGGUACGCGAGCUGGGUUCAGAACGUCGUGAGACAGUUCGGUCCAUAUCCGGUGUAGGCGUUAGAAUAUUGAGAGGAGCCUUCUCUAGUACGAGGGGACCGAGAAGGACAUACCUCUGGUGUACCAGUUAUCGUGCCAACGGUAAACGCUGGGUAGCUAUGUAUGGAGAGGAUAACCGCUGAAAGCAUCUAAGUGGGAAGCCCACCUCAAGAUGAGUAUUCUCAC